GAUGAACGCUGGCGGCGUGCUUAAUACAUGCAAGUCGAACGGUGAAGCGACUUCCUUUUUGGUGGGUGUGGAUGAGUGGCGAACGGGUGAGUAACACGUGAGUCACCUGCUCCCAUCUUCUGGAUAACCGCAAGAAAGUGUGGCUAAUACGGGAUAUUUUGGGUCUGUCGCAUGAUGGGUCUGGGAAAGAUUUUGUUUCGGUGGGGGAUGGGUUCGCGGCGUAUCAGCUGGUUGGUGAGGUGAUGGCUUACCAAGGCGGUGAUGCAUAGCCGGCCUGAGAGGAGGAUCGGCCACAAUGGAACUAAGAGACGGGCAGGAAUCCUACGGGGGGGAGCAGUAGGGAAGCUUAGGCAAUGGGGGAAAGCCUGACGGAGCAACGCCGCGGGAGUGAUGAAGGUCUUCGGAGCGUAAAAAUCUGUUAUUAGGGAAGAAAAGAUGUGUAAGUAACUGUGCACAUAUUGACGGUACCUAAUCAGAAAGCAACGGAUAACUACGUG
rnacentral:rRNA from 1 species